rnacentral:misc_RNA from 1 species
UUUCUUUUCAUCUUCUGUUUUUGUGGAUUUUUAGGGUUUUAAAUUUUCGGUUACUUGUUAGUAUAGGGUUUGUUAAGCUUCCUGUUAUUAAUGGUAGUAAAUUAUGCAACCGAACCGAAAAUUCUUGUUGCAUUUUUGGCAAUCUUAGUUCCAAAGUAUAUGGUGUAUAAGUUAAGGUAAUAAUUCAAAUUGCAGAAAUCGG